GACGAACGCUGGCGGCGUGCUUAACACAUGCAAGUCGAACGGAAAGGCCCUGCUUUUGUGGGGUGCUCGAGUGGCGAACGGGUGAGUAACACGUGAGUAACCUGCCCUUGACUUUGGGAUAACUUCAGGAAACUGGGGCUAAUACCGGAUAGGAGCUCCUGCUGCAUGGUGGGGGUUGGAAAGUUUCGGCGGUUGGGGAUGGACUCGCGGCUUAUCAGCUUGUUGGUGGGGUAGUGGCUUACCAAGGCUUUGACGGGUAGCCGGCCUGAGAGGGUGACCGGGCACAAUGGGACUGAGAUACGGCCCAGACUCCUACGGGAGGCAGCAGUGGGGAAUAUUGCACAAUGGGCGGAAGCCUGAUGCAGCAACGCCGCGUGCGGGAUGACGGCCUUCGGGUUGUAAACCGCUUUCGCCUGUGACGAAGCGUGAGUGACGGUAAUGGGUAAAGAAGCACCGGCUAACUACGUG
rnacentral:rRNA from 1 species